UUGGCUCCCUCAUUAUCCUCAACUAGGACUGUCUGUGUGUCUGCAGGAUGCAGGACCUGAAGCAACUGUCUGGUUGGAUCUGUGUCAGGAUUCCUCUGAUGGAAACCAGCUGCAACUCUCUGGAGCUGCACGAGUUCUGCAUCCGUGUCCCCGCACACAGACGACCAUGAUCCAUGAGGUCGAGCAUGCAGCUCAGCCGAGCGACGGAAAUGGCUUUUAAAUGCCUUGAUUACUCC